rnacentral:rRNA from 1 species
CCUACGGGGCGCAGCAGUAGGGAAUCUUCCACAAUGGACGAAAGUCUGAUGGAGCAACGCCGCGUGAGUGAAGAAGGGUUUCGGCUCGUAAAGCUCUGUUGGUAGUGAAGAAAGAUAGAGGUAGUAACUGGCCUUUAUUUGACGGUAAUUACUUAGAAAGUCACGGCUAACUACGUGCCAGCAGCCGCGGUAAUACGUAGGUGGCAAGCGUUGUCCGGAUUUAUUGGGCGUAAAGCGAGUGCAGGCGGUUCAAUAAGUGUGAUGUGAAAGACUUCGGCUCAAAAGGAG